GAUGAACGCUAGCGGGAGGCUUAACACAUGCAAGCCGAGGGAUAUUGUGCUUUCGGGCACAAGAGACCGGCGGACGGGUGAGUAACAUGUAUGCAACUUGCCUCUAUCAGUGGGAUAACCCGGGGAAACUCGGACUAAUACCGCAUAACAAUAUUAUCAGCAUUGAUGAUAUUUAAAAGAUUUAUCGGAUAGAGAUAGGCAUGCGUAGGAUUAGUUAGUUGGUGAGGUAAAGGCUCACCAAGACGAUGAUCCUUAGGGGGCCUGAGAGGGUGAUCCCCCACACUGGUACUGAGACACGGACCAG
rnacentral:rRNA from 1 species